rnacentral:rRNA from 1 species
GACGAACGCUGGCGGCGUGCCUAACACAUGCAAGUCGAACGAAGUGGCGAACGGGUGAGUAACGCGUAAUCAACCUGCCCUUCAGAGGGGGAUAACAGUUGGCAACGACUGCUAAUACCGCAUACUGAAGGAGGGGAUUGCGUUUGAUUAGCUAGUUGGAGGGGUAACGGCCCACCAAGGCGAUGAUCAGUAGCCGGUCUGAGAGGAUGAACGGCCAAAUUGGGACUGAGAAACGGCCCAGACUCCUACGGGAGGCAGCAGGGGGGAAUCUUCCGCAAUGGACGAAAGUCUGACGGAGCAACGCCGCGUGAGUGAUGAAGGCCUUCGGGUUGUAAAGCUCUGUUAAUCGGGACGCGGUACCGGAAUAGAAAGCCACGGCUAACUACGUGCCAGCCGCCGCGGUAAUUC